AUAUCAAUAAGCGGAGGAAAAGAAACUAACCAGGAUUCCCCUAGUAACUGCGAGUGAAGCGGGAAAAGCUCAAAUUUAAAAUCUGGCGGCUUUGCCGUCCGAGUUGUAGCCUAGAGAAGUGUUUUCCGCGCUGGACCGUGUACAAGUCCCUUGGAACAGGGCGUCAUAGAGGGUGAGAAUCCCGUCCUUGACACGGACUCCCAGGGCUUUGCGAUGCGCUCUCGAAGAGUCGAGUUGUUUGGGAAUGCAGCUCAAAACGGGUGGUAAAUUCCAUCUAAAGCUAAAUAUUGGCGAGAGACCGAU
rnacentral:rRNA from 1 species